rnacentral:tRNA from 1 species
UUCUUGAUAGCUUAAUUAUAAAGCAUAAUCCUGAAGAGAUUAAGAUGAUUAAUUUCUCAA